UGGGAAAUGCCACAUUUUUAAAAGCCUUCC
rnacentral:piRNA from 1 species